rnacentral:tRNA from 1 species
AGGGAGUUAGUUUAAUAAGAACACUUGAUUUCGGCUCAAAUAGCUUUGGUUUAAGCCCAAAACUCCCAA